AUCGAUACUGUAAAAAUGCAUUCUCUCUGAUCCCAACCGUCUUCUUCAAUAUGUGGUGAUCUAAACUAAACCAAAAGAAUGUCGAUUGAGAUGAAACGUUGUAAAAAACUGUGUCAAGCUUCGACAGUGUCCAUUCGUUUUUGGUUCUUACCCUCGAAGACGUUACGAACGAGAUGUCUUAAUUCAUCGGAUUUAAGAAACCUCUUAACUCCAUCAACGCUAAUCAAGCACGAUGCCUCAUUCAAUGCUACUUAUCCCUCUUCUAGGAGUGUUUCUCCACCUAUAAAAAGGUAAGCUUUUUCGUCUCUUGAACAUCAUUCUCACAGUUCAUGAUAAUCCAAAAAUGUUAUUUGCAGUAUAAUGAAUGGCCAACUUAUCUGUUCUUCAACAAUUGAGGUGCGACUAAAUUCCUCUUUGAUGCAAAGUCGACCCUCAUGCCAGCCACUGUGAAUGUUCAGCCUCUCUCCACUUUCCGACACCGUCCGUGCAAUCAGAACUACAGGCUGACUGAUUCUUCUCGGACGAUUCUGUUCAAUGUUAUUCUCCAAUCCCUGCAGAGCGGUUCAGGUUCCGGGAUCUGAUUCGCUGCUUGGCCUAGCCAACACACACACACACACACAACUUCCAGGUACAUCUCUUAUUAGCUAUUUAUCUCAGACUUAACACAUAUACUUUUCUCAAUGUUUUGUCAGAAAGUUACUUGGCCAGUCUUUCUCUUUGUCCCCGAGAGAUCAGAGCUGCCAUUUCUACAUGCAAUUACACAGGUUUGUUGAGGAUUGAGUGUUAUACUUCAUAGAUUGUGGAAUUAAUGACACUCUGUGAACUGUGUGAUAAUAUAUAUUAGUUUUCUCUCUGCUAGGCUGUGAUUUUGCAGCCGCUUGGUGAUAAAUGAAUCAUAGUUAUUGUUGGGAAGACGACUAGAUAUAUGCUUCACGUCUUCAGACUAGGUAAGGAAAACUUUCACUUCUUUAUAUUGUUUGUAGCUUAGAAAACAAAUACAACAAGUAAAAGAGUUGGGUUUCUCAUUAUGUCAAGGCUUAAAUUUCUUCAAUUUAGAGAAGUUAAAUGCGACACUAUGGAGGUGUUUUAUUGGUUCAGCUUAUAUUUCCCAAGAAACAGAUCGCAGUACCCAGACCGGUUCCAAGCGGUUCAAUGCGUGAUCAUGUGGUUACACAAAGUGGAAAUGUAAAAAUAGCUUCUAGAAUCAUGAACUAAACACUUAUACAUCAGCAUAGAGUUUAAGUUUUUCAAAGAUGUAGAUUUGAUCUAUGCUCGGAUAAUCUUCGACCCACAAUUUUUAAAAAAUUUGUGCUGUGUGAUUAUUAUGAUUUAAACUUAUGGAAUAAGAGAGGGGAGUCUCAUCAUACCUUA